rnacentral:lncRNA from 1 species
CUGUGAUCUUACCAUGGAGAUGCCACAUUCCAAGUCUGCCUGUUUGAAUCCCUCUCCUAUGACAUAGAGCAGUCAAGCAAGAGAGCACCCACUGGCUAUUUACAUUUCCACAAGAAAACAACAGACAACUUAUCGCUACCUAUAAA